UACGAAGGGGGCUAGCGUUGCUCGGAAUUACUGGGCGUAAAGCGUGCGCAGACGGUUGCGUAAGUCAGAUGUGAAAGCCCCGGGCUCAACCUGGGAGUUGCAUUUGAGACUGCGUAGCUAGGGUGCGGAAGAGGGAAGCGGAAUUUCCGGUGUAGCGGUGAAAUGCGUAGAUAUCGGAAGGAACACCAGUGGCGAAAGCGGCUUCCUGGUCCAGCACCGACGUUCAGGCACGAAAGCGUGGGGAGCAAACAGG
rnacentral:rRNA from 1 species